GGGCCUCUAGCUCAAUGGUCAGAGCUGCGGACUUUUAAUCCGUAGGUUGUGGGUUCGAGUCCCACGGGGCCCACCG
rnacentral:tRNA from 2 species